AUAUUCUGCCCUAUGAAUAUUUAAAUGGCUGCAGUAUUUUGACUGUACAAAGGUAGCAUAAUAAUUAGUUUUUUAAUUGAGGACUGGAAUGAAUGAUUAAAUAGGAGAUUAGUUUUAUUAGGAUUAUUUUUAUAAUUUUAUUUUUAGGUAAAAAAGCUUAAUUACUUUUUUGGGACGAAAAGACCCUAUAGAACUUUAUUUAUUAUUUUAAAAAUUUUUUUAAGUAUUUAUUUAUUUAAAUUUAAUAAAUUUUAUUGGGGUGAUUAAUAAAUUAAACUUUAUUUUUAAAAUUCAUUAAUUUAUGAUUUUGUUGACUUAAUAGAUUAUUUAAAGAUAAAGUUACCUUAGGGAUAACAGCGUAAUUUUUAUGGGGAGUUCAUAUCUAUAUAAUAGUUUGCGACCUCGAUGUUGAAUUAAGAUGAGUUUUUGAAGCAGAAUUUAUUUUAACUAAGUCUGUUCGACUUUUAAAUUCUU
rnacentral:rRNA from 1 species